rnacentral:piRNA from 1 species
UUGUUUUAAUUAAAAGGAAGAGGGGAA